GAUGAACGCUGGCGAGAUGCUUUACACAUGCAAGUCGUACGAGAGUUUUUAACUCAAGUGGCGGACGGGUGAGUAACACGUAAGAAUUUACCUUUAGGAGGGGGAAAGUUAUUGUAGUGACUAGUAAUACCCCAUAUGCUUUCGAGUGAAAUGGAAUUUUCCGCCUAGAGAGAAGCUUGCGGCUGAUUAGCUUGUUGGUGAGGUAAUGGCUUACCAAGGCGACGAUCAGUAGCUGGUCUGAGAGGAUGAGCAGCCACACUGGGACUGAGACACGGCCCAGACUCCUACGGGAGGCAGCAGUGGGGAAUUUUCCGCAAUGGGCGAAAGCCUGACGGAGCAAGACCGCGUGGGGGAGGAAGGUUUUUGGAUCGUAAACCCCUUUUGUCAAGGAAGAAGCUCUGACGGUACUUGACGAAUAAGCCUCGGCUAACUCCGUGCCAGCCGCCGCGGUAA
rnacentral:rRNA from 1 species